UUCACAGAAAGCUGUCUGCUGGUGAGACAUGGUUGCUACGGAGCCAGAGAUGCCACAGCCGAGUUUACUAAGGAGGAUACCGAGUCCACAGCUCUUUCUACUACAUUCGCUACUUCCUUUCUCUGAAAGAGAAAGCCUUCUCAGGAGCCACAGAUCAACGAGAGAGUCUCUAUGGAUGGAAACAUGAGGGGAGAAACUUUGCAGGGAAGAAGAGAGU